GUUCAGCCCCUUUCCUUUCUCUCUCGCACACAUAUUUGCUCGCCUUUUUGUCUGCCAACAUGGGAUAAAGCAGCAAGAAAGUGCUUGCCAGAUAUGGGUCCUUGAACCUUGGACUGCCCAGCCUCCAGAACUCAUCCCUUACGCCAUACUUUGGUAAAUACUGUUCAUGGUCUUAGAAAUGCCAAGCAAGCAGACAGCAGGAAACUAGUGAUCUAGAAUCAGCAAGAAACCUCUAAGGUAAGGGUGGGAUUGGUCAUAGACCCUCUUUUUCCCUAUUUUUCUCUCACUACUGCAUUUU
rnacentral:lncRNA from 1 species